rnacentral:rRNA from 1 species
CAAUAGCGUAUAUUAAAGUUGUUGCGGUUAAAAAGCUCGUAGUUGGAUUUCUGCCGAGGACGACCGGUCCGCCUUCUGGGUGAGUAUCUGGUUCGGCCUGGGCAUCUUCUUGGAGAACGUAUCUGCACUUGACUGUGUGGUGCGGUAUCCAGGACUUUUACUUUGAGGAAAUUAGAGUGUUCAAGGGAGGCGUACGCCUCGCAUAGGUUAGCAUGGAAUAAUGCUGUAAGACCAUGGUAUUGCUGUGUUGGUUUCUAUCACCUAAGGUAAUGAUAAACAGGGAUAGUUGGGGGCAUUCGUAUUUAACUGUCAGAGGUGAAAUUCUUGGAUUUGUUAAAGACGAACGACUGCGAAAGCAUUUGCCAAGGAUGUUUUCAUUGAUCAAGAACGAAAGUUAGGGAUCGAAGAUGAUCAGAUACCGU